GAUAAAUAUUCAUACAAAGGAACGUAUAUUACGGAAGACUUCCUUAUAGACCACAUUUGAAGUGUUAGUCGUAUCUAACGUCGAGGUUGAGGUUAAAAUGGUUGAAGCUAAAACAUAUCAUCAACUACAUGCCAUAUUGUUGGUCAUGCAAGUUAAAGUUUGGCAUUAUUUACAUCUAACGCUAAGUAAAAAUAUUAUUAGCCAACUAUAAAAAGACAGAUGCUAAAGACAGCUAGCGUCGAUCUAUCCAACGCUAAAGCAAAUCUAAAAAGUCAUGUACAUUACCUAGCGGUUGGUCCAUCCAACAAUAAAACUGGAGAAUGAAAAAUUAUUAUUAAUAACAGUGAUUUUGAACUAUAUAAUUACUGCCAAUGCAACAUAUUUUACAUCAUUUUAUUUGUGUUAGGACAUUAUAGAAUACACAAGUGUUAUGUGAUUAUUGAUUUGUCCUGCGUUGUUCUUCUUUCCCUAUCAUAGAAAUCAAGGUCAAAAUAUUAUAAACCAAAUAUAAGAAAAAAUAAUAAAAGUAACAAAAGUGACAUUCAAAUAAAAUCAUGGACUUUAAAAAACAAGAUCAUAAUUUUUCAACUUACAUGUUAAGUGCAGUGACAAUUAUAAUUAGAGCACUUGGCAAGUUUAGGAGGAUAGCACAAAUAAUUUGGACAAUCAUUGUCAGUCCUGCACUUCUUAAAUUCUGUUAUGUGAAAAAUGUAUAAGAGAAUAUAUUAAUAAAAUUUGAUGACAUAUUUAUUAAAAAAAAAGGGUAGAAAAAGGAAAAUUAUUAUUAAUAAUAGUUGCACUAAUAAAUAUUUUAUUUUAUAAAUAUUUCAAGUUGAAUUCAAAUUUUUUUCUCUUGAUGUUACAAACUCAAACUUUUAUUAAUACCUCUUAAAAAUUAUGAAAUAUUGUGUAUAAGAUAAAUAAUUUUCUUUGAAAAGGAAUAGAAAAGGAGCUUACCACCGUAGCUGAUUACCAAAUGAAGUAGUGAAAGAAAGAGGAUCAUCGCACAAACAAACUUCUGAAUUUCAGCCAUAUUAAUAUUUCCUCCUUUGUAUGGCUGAAAUUUGACCAAUUUAUUUAUAAUGUAAAAAACAUCAUACUCUAUAUAUUACUUCAAUUUAAAAUAUUAAAAUUAUUACUUGUUACAAAAUAUCUUUUGUAAAAUUGUAUAUUUUUUUUUUAACAAGAAAUUAUAAUUAUUAUUAAAUGUCUCAUAAACACUUCUUCAGGUUGUCAACUCAUCAUAAUAUCUGGCAGCGGAAUGUCAUUACAGAUGUUGGUGCAUCUAUGUGUGUCCAGUGGGUUAGGGAGCGGAUCAACUUAUUACUUUAUCGUUUAUUGUAAUCAAAUAUCUCCUAUCUGGCAUGCUACUCUUCGGUGGUUGGAUGUUGAUGAGUGGGUGUCCCCUCGUGGUAAUCAAGGGUUGUUUGAGGUUUUCCUGGGUAUAGGGGGUAAGAAAAGUUGUGUGGUUGUUAAUUUGGCAAAUGCUAAUUAAAUAGAUUUGAGAGGUUGUUAAUUUGGUAAACUAUUAUGUGGACUAUCUAGAACUCGUGAAAUGAUGUACUCUUUUUAGAAGGUACUUUUUAUGUUGAGUGUUUGAUCGAUAGAGUGAAACUUUUAUCUUGGAAAUUAAAUGGUUUCUAGGUAAAAAUUAUGGCAUCACGCGUGUUCCUUUCAUAAGUGGAAUAUGCACCCUAUUUUUUGUUGGAACUAGGUCUUCGCGAGGUCUUUUGGUGGUUGAUCCUUGUCUCUAUCUGGUCUAAGGGGUUUUGGAUCUUCUUGUAGUCGGAAGUUAAAGGUGUUAAUUUGCUAUUGGUGUGUCCAUUUGUUUACAUGGGUUAUAAUUAACAAAAAUGUUAUUCAAACACAAAUAUCAAACACAUAUACAACAUUUAUAUACUUUUUGCAAUAUUUUUUGCAUGUUUCGAAUUGCAUGUUAUGAGGGAAGAGAGAGAAUGUGUAGUAUUUUUAUCUAUAAAUUUGUGUUGAUAUAUCACUCCUCUAUAAUUAAUUAGGUAUUAUAGUGGAGAGUA
rnacentral:lncRNA from 1 species